rnacentral:tRNA from 1 species
GGCUUCGUGGUUUAGGGGUAUAAUUCUCGCUUAGGGCUUACCUGAGUAUAUCUGCGAGAGGUCCCGGGUUCGAAUCCCGGCGAAGCCC